rnacentral:sRNA from 1 species
AUUCCAAAAUUAUACAAGAUUGCAUAUACAUUUACAAUAGCUAGUGCUAUUUA